rnacentral:lncRNA from 1 species
AAAAAAUAUUUUUGUUUCUUUAUAUCGUUGUUCUUGGGAUAGUUAAACAUUUUGCAAACCACAUCUUUAUUCGCGCAUUUAAUUAAAGGUACUGCCUUCGGGCAGGCGUUGUAGGGUGCUAAUACCUUCCCUUCGCGUAACUGACUACCGAACCCAAUCUUUGGUUUUCGUGGACCGUGUCUUCUCUUUAUGGUUUUUUCCAUAGUUUUCCAGAAUAAACUAUGGUGGCGACUCCAAAAUUUCUUAACCAUUUUUCUCUUUGGAUCGU